GACGAACGCUGGCGGCGUGCUUAACACAUGCAAGUCGAACGGAAAGGCCCUGCUUUUGUGGGGUGCUCGAGUGGCGAACGGGUGAGUGACACGUGAGUAACCUGCCCUUGACUUUGGGAUAACUUCAGGAAACUGGGGCUAAUACCGGAUAGGAGCUCCUGCUGCAUGGUGGGGGUUGGAAAGUUUCGGCGGUUGGGGAUGGACUCGCGGCUUAUCAGCUUGUUGGUGGGGUAGUGGCUUACCAAGGCUUUGACGGGUAGCCGGCCUGAGAGGGUGACCGGCCACAUUGGGACUGAGAGACGGCCCAGACGCCUACGGGAGGCAGCAGUGGGGAAUAUUGCGCAAUGGGCGGAAGCCUGAUGCAGCAACGCCGCGUGCGGGAUGACGGCCUUCGGGUUGUAAACCGCUUUCGCCUGUGACGAAGCGUGAGUGACGGUAAUGGGUAAAGAAGCACCGGCUAACUACGUG
rnacentral:rRNA from 1 species